UACGGAGGGGGCUAGCGUUGUUCGGAAUUACUGGGCGUAAAGCGCACGUAGGCGGCUUUGCAAGUUAGAGGUGAAAGCCCGGGGCUCAACUCCGGAAUUGCCUUUAAAACUGCAUCGCUAGAAUUGUGGAGAGGUAAGUGGAAUUCCGAGUGUAGAGGUGAAAUUCGUAGAUAUUCGGAAGAACACCAGUGGCGAAGGCGACUUACUGGACACAUAUUGACACUGAGGCACGAAAGCGUGGGGAUCAAACAGG
rnacentral:rRNA from 1 species